rnacentral:lncRNA from 1 species
AUUACCAGUUCCUACAGCUCCACUCGAGGCAUCUCACAGAGAAGAAGAGCUGUGUCAUCAUUCCAGUUCUUCAACUCCAUUGGCAGCAGACAAGGAGUCCCAGGGAGAAAAGGCUGCAGAUACAACCCCAAGGAAGAAACAAAACUCGAAUUCUCAGUCUACACCUGGCAGCUCUGGGCAGCGUAAGCGGAAAGUUCAGCUGCUGCCUUCUCGGCGAGGGGAACAGCUGACCUUGCCUCCACCUCCCCAGCUUGGCUAUUCGAUCACUGCCGAGGACCUAGACUUAGAGAAGAAGGCUUCAUUACAGUGGUUCAACCAGGCCUUGGAGGACAAGAGUGAUGCUGCCUCGAACUCUGUCACUGAGACCCCACCUACCACUCAGCCUUCAUUUACCUUUACCCUGCCUGCUGCUGCAACUGCCUCCCCACCCACCUCCCUCCUGGCCCCAAGCACCAACCCACUGUUAGAGAGCUUGAAGAAGAUGCAGACUCCCCCGAGCCUGCCACCCUGCCCAGAAUCUGCUGGAGCAGCAACCACUGAGGCCCUCUC